CUCAGGAUGAACGCUAGCGGCAGGCCUAACACAUGCAAGUCGAGGGGUAACAGGGAGCUUGCUCCGCUGACGACCGGCGCACGGGUGCGCACCGCGUAUGGAACCUACCUUCUACAGGGGAAUAGCCCAGGGAAACUUGGAUUAAUGCCCCGUGGUACUAUAAUGUGGCAUCACGUUAUAGUUAAAGCCUUCGGGCGGUAGAAGAUGGCCAUGCGUCCCAUUAGUUUGUUGGUAAGGUAACGGCUUACCAAGACUACGAUGGGUAGGGGCCCUGAGAGGGGGAUCCCCCACACUGGUACUGAGACACGGACCAGACUCCUACGGGAGGCAGCAGUGAGGAAUAUUGGACAAUGGAGGAGACUCUGAUCCAGCCAUGCCGCGUGCAGGAAGAAUGCCCUAUGGGUAGUAAACUGCUUUUAUACAGGAAGAAAAAGGGGCACGUGUGCCCUACUGACGGUACUGUAAGAAUAAGGACCGGCUAACUCCGUGCCAGCAGCCGCGGUAAUACGGAGGGUCCGAGCGUUAUCCGGAAUUAUUGGGUUUAAAGGGUCCGUAGGCGGGCGAUUAAGUCAGUGGUGAAAGUCUGUAGCUCAACUAUAGAAUUGCCUUUGAUACUGAUCGUCUUGAGUUAUAGUGAAGUUGCCGGAAUAUGUAGUGUAGCGGUGAAAUGCAUAGAUAUUACAUAGAACACCGAUUGCGAAGGCAGGUGACUAACUAUAUACUGACGCUGAUGGACGAAAGCGUGGGGAGCGAACAGGAUUAGAUACCCUGGUAGUCCACGCCGUAAACGAUGGAUACUAGCUGUCCGGGGCCUUGAGUCCUGGGCGGCCAAGCGAAAGUGAUAAGUAUCCCACC
rnacentral:rRNA from 1 species